AGAGGCUUAGGAUAAAAAUAAACCAAGGGCCUUCAAAGCCCUAAAUGAGGGUGAAAAUCCCUCAGCCCCUG
rnacentral:tRNA from 1 species